GACGAAUGCUGGCUGCGUGCUUAACACAUGCAAGUCGAACGGUGAAAGGGAGCUUGCUCCCUGGAUCAGUGGCGAACGGGUGAGUAACACGUGGGCAACCUGCCCCUCACUCUGGGAUAACUCCGGGAAACCGGGGCUAAUACCGGAUACGACCUGGUGCGACAUCGCACCGGGUGGGAAGAACUUCGGUGGGGGAUGGGCCCGCGGCCUAUCAGCUUGUUGGUGGGGUAACGGCCCACCAAGGCGACGACGGGUAGCCGGCCUGAGAGGGCGACCGGCCACACUGGGACUGAGACACGGUCCAGACUCCUACGGGAGGCAGCAGUGGGGAAUAUUGCGCAAUGGGCGAAAGCCUGACGCAGCGACGCAGCGUGAGGGACGAAGGCCUUCGGGUUGUAAACCUCUUUCAGCGGGGACGAAGCGAAAGUGACGGUACCCGCAGAAGAAGCACCGGCUAACUACGUGCCAGCCGCCGCCGUAACAC
rnacentral:rRNA from 1 species